rfam:Salmo salar isolate Sally breed double haploid chromosome ssa16, whole genome shotgun sequence.
UGGCUUAGUUGGUAGAGCAUGGUGUUUGCAACGCCAGGGUUGUGGGUUCGAUUCCCAC